UUGAACGCUGGCGGCAUGCCUUACACAUGCAAGUCGAACGGUAGAGGGGCAACCCUUGAGAGUGGCGAACGGGUGAGUAAUGCAUCGGAACGUGCCCAGUCGUGGGGGAUAACGCAGCGAAAGCUGUGCUAGUACCGCAUGUGAUCUGUGGAUGAAAGCAGGGGACCGCAAGGCCUUGUGAGAUUGGAGCGGCCGAUGUCAGAUUAGCUAGUUGGUAGGGUAAAAGCCUACCAAGGCGACGAUCUGUAGCUG
rnacentral:rRNA from 1 species